rnacentral:rRNA from 1 species
GGGUUGUGAGGUUAAGCGACUAAGCGUACACGGUGGAUGCCCUGGCAGUCAGAGGCGAUGAAGGGCGUGCUAAUCUGCGAUAAGCGCCGGUAAGGUGAUAUGAACCGUUAUAACCGGCGAUACCCGAAUGGGGAAACCCAGUGUGACUCGUCACACUAUCAUUAACUGAAUCCAUAGGUUAAUGAGGCGAACCGGGGGAACUGAAACAUCUAAGUACCCCGAGGAAAAGAAAUCAACCGAGAUUCCCCCAGUAGCGGCGAGCGAACGGGGAGGAGCCCAGAGCCUGAAUCAGCAUGUGUGUUAGUGGAAGCGUCUGGAAAGGCGCGCGAUACAGGGUGACAGCCCCGUACACAAAAGCGCAUGUGCUGUGAGCUCGAUGAGUAGGGCGGGACACGUGGUAUCCUGUCUGAAUAUGGGGGGACCAUCCUCCAAGGCUAAAUACUCCUGACUGACCGAUAGUGAACCAGUACCGUGAGGGAAAGGCGAAAAGAACCCCGGCGAGGGGAGUGAAAAAGAACCUGAAACCGUGUACGUACAAGCAGUGGGAGCCCCACCACCAAAGCAUUCUCUGGUGUUGAAGGCCCUGCAAAGCAGCAUCGCGGUGGCGGAGCGUCGUUUGCGACGCCCAACACACAAAACAAGCGGUGAGUGCUUUGGGGUGGGGUGACUGCGUACCUUUUGUAUAAUGGGUCAGCGACUUAUAUUCUGUAGCAAGGUUAACCGAAUAGGGGAGCCGGAGGGAAACCGAGUCUUAAUUGGGCGUUAAGUUGCAGGGUAUAGACCCGAAACCCGGUGAUCUAGCCAUGGGCAGGUUGAAGGUUGGGUAACACUAACUGGAGGACCGAACCGACUAAUGUUGAAAAAUUAGCGGAUGACCUGUGGCUGGGGGUGAAAGGCCAAUCAAACCGGGAGAUAGCUGGUUCUCCCCGAAAGCUAUUUAGGUAGCGCCUCGUGAACUCAUCUCCGGGGGUAGAGCACUGUUUCGGCUAGGGGGCCAUCCCGGCUUACCAACCCGAUGCAAACUGCGAAUACCGGAGAAUGUUAUCACGGGAGACACACGGCGGGUGCUAACGUCCGUCGUGAAGAGGGAAACAACCCAGACCGCCAGCUAAGGUCCCAAAGUCAUGGUUAAGUGGGAAACGAUGUGGGAAGGCCCAGACAGCCAGGAUGUUGGCUUAGAAGCAGCCAUCAUUUAAAGAAAGCGUAAUAGCUCACUGGUCGAGUCGGCCUGCGCGGAAGAUGUAACGGGGCUAAACCAUGCACCGAAGCUGCGGCAGCGACACUGUGUGUUGUUGGGUAGGGGAGCGUUCUGUAAGCCUGUGAAGGUGUGUCGUGAGGCAUGCUGGAGGUAUCAGAAGUGCGAAUGCUGACAUAAGUAACGAUAAUGCGGGUGAAAAACCCGCACGCCGGAAGACCAAGGGUUCCUGUCCAACGUUAAUCGGGGCAGGGUGAGUCGACCCCUAAGGCGAGGCCGAAAGGCGUAGUCGAUGGGAAACAGGUUAAUAUUCCUGUACUUGGUGUUACUGCGAAGGGGGGACGGAGAAGGCUAUGUUGGCCGGGCGACGGUUGUCCCGGUUUAAGCGUGUAGGCUGGUUUUCCAGGCAAAUCCGGAAAAUCAAGGCUGAGGCGUGA